AAGCAGUGAAGAUCUAAAACAGAACUACUGAAGAAACACCAGCCUUCAGAUUUUCAUCAUACAGCCAUCAAUCCAGCAUGAAGCUGAGUCUUUUUCUUGUUGUGUCUCGCAGUUUUCUUCAUCUUUCUGGUCUGGUCCCAGCUGCUGUAUCCAUUGUGCUAACCGUCCCUCACAGAUAUGAACUGAUAACGACAUUUGAAACAUGGCCUGUUGCACAGAAUUACUGCAAGAAGAACUACACUGACCUGGGAAUAAUCCUAAGUGAUACCGAUUGGCUAAGAUUGAAUAAAGUAACAAAA